rnacentral:rRNA from 1 species
CAGAGUAUCAAUUGGAGGGCAAGUCUGGUGCCAGCAGCCGCGGUAAUUCCAGCUCCAAUAGCGUAUAUUAAAAUUGUUGCAGUUAAAAAGCUCGUAGUUGAAUUUCUGCUGCAUUGCUUUUGCUCCUUUACGAGUCUUUGCAUUGUGGCUUAUUUCGGACUUUGUUUUACAAUGUCCGGAUGUUUACUUUGAGAAAAUUAGAGUGCUCAAAGCAGGCUUUCGCCUUGAAUAGUUUAGCAUGGAAUAAUAAAGUAGGACUUUGGUUCUAUUUUGUUGGUUUUAGGUACCAAAGUAAUGGUUAAUAGGAACAGUUGGGGGCAUUCGUAUUUAACUGUCAGAGGUGAAAUUCUUAGAUUUGUUAAAGACGAACUACUGCGAAAGCAUUUGCCAAGGAUGUUUUCAUUAAUCAAGAACGAAAGUUAGGGGAUCGAAGACGAUCAGAUACCGUCGUAGUCCUAACCAUAAACUAAUA